rnacentral:rRNA from 1 species
UNNCUAGGACGACGCUGGCGGCGUGCCUAACACAUGCAAGUCGAGCGAAGAAGCUCCUUCGGGAGGUUCUUAGCGGCGGACGGGUGAGUAACACGUGGGUAACCUGUCUCAAAGAGGGGGAUAGCCUCCCGAAAGGGAGAUUAAUACCGCAUAAUAAGUGCGGUUCGCAUGAGCCGCACUUUAAAGGAGAAAUCCGCUUUGAGAUGGACCCGCGGCGCAUUAGCUAGUUGGUAGGGCAGCGGCUUACCAAGGCAACGAUGCGUAGCCGACCUGAGAGGGUGAACGGCCACAUUGGAACUGAGAGACGGUCCAGACUCCUACGGGAGGCAGAGUGGGGAAAAUUGCACAAUGGGCGAAAGCCUGAUGCACAACGCCGCGUGAGUGAAGAAGGGUUUCGGAUUGGAAAGCUUCUGUCUCUGGGACGAUAAUGACGGUACCAGAUGAGGAAGGCCCGGGUAACUACGUGCCCACCCGCCGCGGUAAUUCGUAGGGGGGCAGCGUUGUCCGGAAUUACCUGGGCGUAAAGGGUGCCCAGGCGGACAUUUUAAUGAGAUGUGAAAAAACCCGGGCUUAACUUGGGCAGGGCAUUUUUAACUGGAUGUCUGGAGUGCAGGAGAAGAGAAACGGAAUUUCCUAGUGUAGCGGUGAAAUGCGUAGAAAUUUAGAAGAAAACCCCUGGCGAAAGCGGUUCUUCUGGACUGUAACUGACGCUGAAGCACAAAGCGUGGGGUAGCAAACAAGAUUAGAUACCCCGGGAGUCCACCCCCGUAAACGAUGAGUACUAAGUGGUAGGAGGGAUCGACCCCCUCUGUGCCGCCACUAAAAACCAAAAAGUACUCCUCCCCUGGGGGAGUACGAUCCCCAGAAUAAAAAAUCUAAAGAAAUUGACGGGGGGCCCCCCCCACACAAGCGGAGCAUGUUGGUGUUAUUUCUUAGCAACGC